rnacentral:miRNA from 1 species
UAGGUAGUUUCAUGUUGUUGGGC